AUAUGAUGGCUCAGAUCUCGUCAGUCGUCUUGUGCUUUUGAGAACAGAAGCCAGCAAAUACGAACGCUUGGUUCACAGGUUGGAGGGAACUUGGGUUCUUGAUAACGUCGUGGGACUAGAAUACCUCCUCUGCACCUUGUGUCUUUCAUCGCUUUCACGUGACAAAACGAACCCUUCGUGUCACUUAGGCUGCUCUAUCCGGGUCUCCGUUAUUACGGCUGAAGGUGAUUUCUCCGGACACGGUGCCCGCUGUGCUUCUGAGCCCACGCUGUGCACACACUCACUAGCUUCCUUGGCCAAUGUGCGUCCUCUGCAUGGUAUCAUCCGACCAUGAUGUUAAGUGAGUGGCACAACUAACUGUCUUUUUUUUGUUUUCAAUGCCAAGAGGAGUCUGUGCAUUUUCCUUUCGACUUCUCCAGUUGUAUAGAGGGGAACGGAUCAGACUCUCUGAGGUACACAAAUCGCAUUCUAUAAAUGUUCACGGGGCGGGGUUACCAGUGGCAAACAUUAUCAUUUCCUGGAGUAAAGCUGAGUCACGCCCACUACACUUCCCAAAGGGCUAUAUUUGGAAAGAAAAAAAAAAAUACACAUUCAUCUCUUUGCCUUGUCUUCAAUCUUUCCCCCUAGAAAAUCCAGAAGAAAUAAGACUGAAGGAUAUUACACCUGGAAGGCAGGAAGUGGGGGGGAUGGGCUGUCCACCACAGGGCCCUGAUCCCCUUCCCCAGGCUCCAGCACGGCGGGGCAGGGAGAGGGGGUCCUCCGAGAAGCCGCGUGUGACGGUGAACGGUUCCUCCACCGAGAAGUCUUCAGGCUGCAGAGAGCAAGGCGGAGAAGGACGUGACUGAAAUCUGCAGGAGCCCUCCGUCCGGCCCACGCGGCCCACCUCGGCCUCUGGACGUCAUUCUUACGUUGGGACACAGCCCGCGAUGCAGAAGCCGCAGCUGCGGGCCCUCGUUCUCUCCAGUCUGUCCCCGGCGCUGACCUGUUGGAAGAGACCAGUCACUUAUCCCACCGGAGCGUCAGCUCCCUCCCUCCUUUGCAAAAUGAAGUGACACUUGCCCUGAGGACGGGCCACCCACGCAAGCCACCUGCUAGCGCGAGGGGGAGUGGGGCCUGCGCAGGUGUCCCGGGCCCCCUCGCUUCUUCUCCGGUGGCGCCGAUGACUCACAGCUUGUCGUGCAAGUCGGAAGGGGCGAGGAGCGGAGAGGGUUUCUGCUCUGAAAGGUGGCGGGGGGAUCAGUGCGAUCGUUGGUGGGGACUGAGGCUCCUCAACCCCCGGGGCGCAGGCUGAGGCCUCAGCCCUGGGAGAAAGUUACUUUCCUUCGCUGCUUUCUUUCUCCCACAAACCUCAGGCGAGUGGCUUCUGGGCUUUUUAAAGAAUCAACUGAUACUUACGAGGCUCAAGCUACAGUUAACGAAGCUUCUGCUGGUCUUUUCCAGCGGGCGAGUCUUCUGCGGCCUCACCGUAAGCUGGUUCGCUGUCCUCCGCCACCAGGCACCGCGGUGUUGACCUCUUAGGUGAACUGUGUGCGUGCCGGUGCGUGUGUAUAUGUGUGUGCGUGUGGGUGUGCGUGUGGAGGUACGCGUGGGCGUGUGUGUAUGUGCGUGUUAGUAUGCGUGCAGGU